CCAUGAGAUGUGUUCAACAACACGCCAAGAGUAAUAUGAGGUCGUCUUAUUCUCAGGCCAAGAAGCUUUCUGCACCAUCUUCUUCUGCUGUGUGUAAGAAGCUGAGAGAUGAAAAGGCUAAACAGUCUGAGGAAUCAUUAAGAACUGUUAUGUAUUUGAGUUGCUGGGGACCCAACAACUAAACUUCUCCCUUCAUAGUUUUGUACAUAGAUUAAAUAUAUAAAUACAUACAUGGGUUACGCAGAAUCCUCUCUCUCUUUUCUUCUUGAAACAGUAUACUUACUAAAGCUAAUUUUUGUUGAGCUGAGAUGAAGAAAGUCCAAAGAUGAACGAUUCAAAAUUUCAGUUUAAAUUUAGAGUUGAAAAAAAUGUGUACAUAUAAUGAUUCGUAUAGAUUCGAAGUCCAAGAUUAAUGAGGUUUAUGCACGUCUCCCUCUAAAUCAAAUGGUUGGAUGAAAUGAAAUACUUGCUUUAGACUCAAGUUUAAGUAAAUUAAUUACUUUUAAUUAAGAAAUACAAGUUAAUUAGUUACAUUUUUUAUUUAAAAAACCUCACAAUCAUUUCCUUGGAAGAAAUAAUAAGAUUUUUAUUAAGUAAAUUGGCAAGUAAAAUAAUUAGAAUUAAGAAAAAAGAUAGAAAUUUAUAAGCUACUGACUAAAAAUAAUAAAGAUAAUAAAUAAAUUAAUUUUUUAAAUUUAAUAUAAAUUUUAUUGUGCAUAAAAAAUUAUCGAGACUCGUUUAAAAAAAAUCGGUUAUGGAUACUGAAACUUAAUACAUUUAUUAAAAUAUACACAUAUUUUAUGUGUAAAAUUUAUUUUAAAUUAAUAAAAUAAUAAAAUUUAUCCAUAUAAAAAAAUAAUUAUGAUCUUAAAUUAUUUUUUUUAUUAUGAAUUUAAUUACAUUUCUGAUUAUAAAUUUAAUCUUUUUAUACUUAAAAUUAAAAAUAUAAUUUUUUUUUUAAAAAAAGCAGCUUCCAAAGACCACCUCGGUGUCCUAAUUAACCACGUGACGCGGUGUAUGCGAAAACACCCACGCUAAUGCGCAUAGCGCACCUGGUUUACGAUAAAAAAGCAUCGAAAUAAAAUAACAUAUUAAUAAAAGUAAAAUAAAUAUAAAAAUAAACAUUUAAUUUAAUUUAUUUCUCAAAAGAAUCCAAAAACCAGGGGUUGUCUCCUUCUCAAAACAGGUGGUAGGUGUUUUAAAAGCUUCGAUUCCGCCUCUGGUUUUUCAUUUUUCUUGUCACCUCCCCACCUCCUUAUAUAUAUAUAUAUAUAUACAACCAGACUCCCGAUUUCUCCACCAUCGUCAAACUACAGUCCAAAUUAAAGCACAAAAACCCUUCAAAUCUCUCUUUUAUUCUCCUCAAUUCCUGCUUAAAAAUUCCAAAAGAUACAGAAAAUACUCACCGAAAAAUCAGAUCAUGAGCGGUGCGAUGAGAGCCUGGGCUGUGGCCGCUACCAUCGGCGCGGUGGAGGCGCUGAAGGAUCAAGGGAUUUGUAGAUGGAAUUAUACGAUUAGGUCUCUGC
rnacentral:lncRNA from 1 species